UAAUCAUUUUUUUAGUUUCAGAAUCUGAUGCCAAAUAUGCUGUUGAAAAUCUUCGAAGUAAAGGUAUAUCAGCAGACGAAUUCGAUAUCUUUUGGAGAAAGUGCUCGCAGUAUAGAUUUAAACAAAUGAUAGAAUCUAAAUCGACUGCAGACAUCUUACAUGAAUGGCCAGAGUACACAAGACCUUCUGGAUUCCAACUGAUUGAUAUUGACUUCCAUUUAAAAUAUAAAAAUGCUAAGGACUUGACAUCAAGAUGGAAUACAUACGAAAACAAAUUGUUAUAUUUGUUGACAACAAGAAUUACCAGCUCUUUUGUAUCACAACAACUAAAAACGUUAAUUUCAUGUAAUCAAGAAUCAAAAACUUUUGGAAUAAUUUGGAAUCUUCACUAUUUGUUUCCCCCACAACAAAAAGUUAUAAUGGACGAGAAAGGGGCCAAAAUAAGGAAGAAGUUUACAGUGUCAGAUUCUCAAGAUGCAUUUGCUAUAAUUGACAAUACACAUCAAGAACUAAACGUCAAACUAAAUUUGUUAAAAAUCCAAAAAUUAAAUAUACAGCCAAAGCUUUUAAUAAUUGGCAGUGUUUUAGAUGUAAAAGAAAUUUUUGUUUAUUUCGAUGAUAUAAAAUAUCCUAUGUGUAGGGUUUUAACAGCUGUUGA